GUGUCGCUUCAGUAUAGCGAAACAAUUAUGAGUAUAGUGUUAUAAUGUGCGCAAUUGAGGUUAGCAUGGCUCUUUGAGGGAUUAGAGAUGCUGAACCUGAUGUAAUUCAAUGGUCUAGGGCAUCACGAGUCUAAUAUUUCUUUUUGAGGGUUGAUGUCUCUAUACUGGCCGUAUGCGAUUUCUAAUAUAGAGCUCCGAACAUGCAGAUUGACUUGGCGGUCGCACUGUUCAUUUUCCUGUAUGAAUAGAAUUAAUAGUGGUGUAAUGUUGAGGAAGUGGUUACAAUGGCAUCGAUCCCAUCUUGUGCGAGUAGGAGAUGUUGGCAUUCGAUUAAAUCGAAUCACGUGCGCCGAUGAUCGGGCUCGAUCCGACGGUUAUUAUGUUAUGUAAUUGGAUUAGGAUUAAUCUCGCUUUUAAAUUGGAAAGCUAUUUAGAGAUAAAAUCUAAUCAUAUUAGGAUAACAAUUAAUAACUAAUUUGGCCUUAUCUCUUACGCUAUUAGGAUUUUGGAAUCCCUUAUAAAUAUACGGGCGAUCCCACAUAAAACGUAGAACGAAAAAGAGAGAGAAUAAGAAAACAAAAGAGAAAAACCACAUCCUCCAUUAACCUAUUAUUCUAUAGGGACUUGAACAGUGGAUUUGUGAUCGUGCUCGUUCGCAAUUCGAUCCACCGCAGGUUCGGAGCGUUAGAAGACCUUCAAGGACGAUCCAAGGACACGUGAAUCAACCUUUACGAUUCGGGCUCAUCGCGUUGUAGCGUGAAUCGCUUCCGCAAAAAGGUACGAACGAAUACUUCCGCUGCGUUCAACAUAGCUGGCAGUCAAAAUAUACACCCAUCUAUUCAUAGUCGAAAAUUAAUAUAUUACACUUGUGCUACAUCAUUAAUAACAAGUAAAUCACAUCUCUUCUCGGGAGAAAAGUAUAAUAAAAAUGGACUGAAAAGAAAUAAUUUUAUUAGUUUGAAAUGUCACGUGAGUAAUAUAACCGGUGUAUUCUAGAUUUUUUUUCUUCUAUCCAUAUUGGUGCUCAGUUGUAUCCA
rnacentral:lncRNA from 1 species